rnacentral:rRNA from 1 species
CAUCGCCACGGUAAUACGUAGGAGGCAAGCGUUGUCCGGAAUUAUUGGGCGUAAAGGGCUCGCAGACGGUUUCUUAAGUCUGAUGUGAGAGCCCCCGGCUCAACCGGGGAGGGUCAUUGGAAACUGGGAAACUUGAGUGCAGAAGAGGAGAGUGGAAUUCCACGUGUAGCGGUGAAAUGCGUAGAGAUGUGGAGGAACACCAGUGGCGAAGGCGACUCUCUGGUCUGUAACUGACGCUGAGGAGCGAAAGCGUGGGGAGCGAACAGGAUUAGAUACCCCAGUAGUCCCUGUUUCUUAUACA